rnacentral:rRNA from 1 species
AGAAUCAACGCUGGCGGCGUGCCUAACACAUGCAAGUCGAACGAGAAAGUGGAGCAAUCCAUGAGUAAAGUGGCGCACGGGUGAGUAACACGUGACUAACCUACCCUUGAGUGGGGGAUAACCUAGAGAAAUCUGGGCUAAUACCGCAUAAUACCUUCGGGUCAAAGGAGCAAUUCGCUUAAGGAGGGGGUCGCGGCCGAUUAGUUAGUUGGCGGGGUAAUGGCCCACCAAGACUGUGAUCGGUAUCCGGCCUGAGAGGGCGCACGGACACACUGGAACUGAAACACGGUCCAGACUCCUACGGGAGGCAGCAGUGGGAAUUUUGCGCAAUGGGGGAAACCCUGACGCAGCAACGCCGCGUGGAGGAUGAAGUCCCUUGGGACGUAAACUCCUUUCGAUCGGGACGAUUAUGACGGUACCGAGAGAAGAAGCCCCGGCUAACUUCGUGCCAGCAGCCGC